UCGUUUCUAAGCCACUCGUCCGACAGCUGUUAAAAUUAUUCCAGUGACAGCUCAAUAUAUUAAAAAAACGUUAUUCGUGAUGGAAUUCAAGCAUCAUAGUGUGAUUUCUUUAUAUUUGGCUGGAAAACCACAAGGGGCUAUCGUUAGAGCACUCCAGCAUUUAAAUGUGAAUAAAUCUUUUGAGUCUUGUACAAUCGCUCGUUAUCGUGACACUGAUAGCCCGACGUCAAGGAAGUGGAUGGAAGAAAACAUUAACAACAGUAGAAAUGGUUCGAAAAGAAAAGAAUCGACUUGAUCGAAACCCACGUCGCAGUGGCCGAAAAAUGGCUCGUGAGCUGAACAUAUCGCAAUAUUCCAUUCUGCAAAUAAUGAAAAAACGAGCUCGGGGUAAAGCCAUUGAAAUUCCAAAAAGUGCAAGAACUUAAACCGCAUCAGACAGAAAA